rnacentral:rRNA from 1 species
AGCAGUAUCCUGAGUACGGCGGGACACGUGAAAUCCCGUCGGAAUCUGGGAGGACCAUCUCCCAACCCUAAAUACUCCCUAGUGACCGAUAGUGAACCAGUACCGUGAGGGAAAGGUGAAAAGCACCCCGGGAGGGGAGUGAAAUAGAACCUGAAACCGUGUGCCUACAACAAGUUCGAGCCCGUUAAUGGGUGAGAGCGUGCCUUUUGUAGAAUGAACCGGCGAGUUACGUUAUGAUGCGAGGUUAAGUUGAAGAGACGGAGCCGUAGGGAAACCGAGUCUGAAUAGGGCGCCUUAGUAUCAUGACGUAGACCCGAAACCAUGUGACCUACCCAUGAGCAGGUUGAAGGUGCGGUAAGACGCACUGGAGGACCGAACCAGGGCACGUUGAAAAGUGCUUGGAUGACUUGUGGGUAGCGGAGAAAUUCCAAACGAACUUGGAGAUAGCUGGUUCUCUCCGAAAUAGCUUUAGGGCUAGCGUCGACAUUAGAGAUUCUUGGAGGUAGAGCACUGUUUGGGUGAGGGGUCCAUCCCGGAUUACCAAUCUCAGAUAAACUCCGAAUGCCAAUGAAUUAUGGUCGGCAGUCAGACUGCGAGUGCUAAGAUCCGUAGUCGAAAGGGAAACAGCCCAGACCACCAGCUAAGGUCCCAAAAUAAUUGUUAAGUGGAAAAGGAUGUGGGGUUGCACAGACAACUAGGAUGUUAGCUUAGAAGCAGCUAUUCAUUCAAAGAGUGCGUAAUAGCUCACUAGUCGAGUGACCCUGCGCCGAAAAUGUACCGGGGCUAAAACAAUUUACCGAAGCUGUGGAUACCUUUAUAGGUAUGGUAGGAGAGCGUUCUAUGUGUGAUGAAGGUAUACCGUGAGGAGUGCUGGAACGCAUAGAAGUGAGAAUGCCGGUAUGAGUAGCGAAAGACAGGUGAGAAUCCUGUCCACCGUAAGACUAAGGUUUCCAGGGGAAGGCUCGUCCGCCCUGGGUUAGUCGGGACCUAAGGAGAGACCGAAAGGUGUAUCCGAUGGACAACAGGUUGAUAUUCCUGUACUAGAGUAUGUAGUGAUGGAGGGACGCAGUAGGCUAACUAAAGCAGACGAUUGGAAGAGUCUGUCUAAGCAGUGAGGUGUGAAUUGAGUCAAAUGCUUAAUUCUAUAACAUUGAGCUGUGAUGGGGAGCGAAGUUUAGUAGCGAAGUUAGUGACGUCACACUGCCAAGAAAAGCUUCUAGCGUUUAAACAUACUCUACCCGUACCGCAAACCGACACAGGUAGUCGAGGCGAGUAGCCUCAGGUGAGCGAGAGAACUCUCGUUAAGGAACUCGGCAAAAUGACCCCGUAACUUCGGGAGAAGGGGUGCUGACUUAAAGUCAGCCGCAGUGAAUAGGCCCAAGCAACUGUUUAUCAAAAACACAGCUCUCUGCUAAAUCGUAAGAUGAUGUAUAGGGGGUGACGCCUGCCCGGUGCUGGAAGGUUAAGAGGAGUGCUUAGCGUAAGCGAAGGUAUGAAUUGAAGCCCCAGUAAACGGCGGCCGUAACUAUAACGGUCCUAAGGUAGCGAAAUUCCUUGUCGGGUAAGUUCCGACCCGCACGAAAGGCGUAAUGAUUUGGGCACUGUCUCAACGAGAGACUCGGUGAAAUUUUAGUACCUGUGAAGAUGCAGGUUACCCGCGACAGGACGGAAAGACCCCAUGGAGCUUUACUGCAGUUUGAUAUUGAGUGUCUGUACCACAUGUACAGGAUAGGUAGGAGUCUAAGAGAUCGGGACGCCAGUUUCGAAGGAGACGCUGUUGGGAUACUACCCUUGUGUUAUGGCCACUCUAACCCAGAUAGGUGAUCCCUAUCGGAGACAGUGUCUGACGGGCAGUUUGACUGGGGCGGUCGCCUCCUAAAAGG